rnacentral:rRNA from 1 species
UACGUAGGGGGCAAGCGUUGUCCGGAUUUACUGGGCGUAAAGAGCGUGUAGGCGGCCACGCAGGUCCGUUGUGAAAACUGGAGGCUCAACCUCCAGCUGUCGACGGAAACCGUAUGGCUAGAGUCCGGAAGAGGAGAGUGGAAUUCCUGGUGUAGCGGUGAAAUGCGCAGAUAUCAGGAAGAACACCAAUGGCGAAGGCAGCUCUCUGGGACGGUACUGACGCUGAGAAGCGAAAGCAUGGGGAGCGAACAGG